rnacentral:rRNA from 1 species
GACGAACGCUGGCGGCGUGCUUAACACAUGCAAGUCGAACGGAAAGGCCCUGCUUUUGUGGGGUGCUCGAGUGGCGAACGGGUGAGUAACACGUGAGUAACCUGCCCUUGACUUUGGGAUAACUUCAGGAAACUGGGGCUAAUACCGGAUAGGUGCUCCUGCUGCAUGGUGGGGGUUGGAAAGUUUCGGCGGUUGGGGAUGGACUCGCGGCUUAUCAGCUUGUUGGUGGGGUAGUGGCUUACCAAGGCUUUGACGGGUAGCCGGCCUGAGAGGGUGACCGGCCACAUUGGUACUCAGAUACGGCCCAGACUCCUACGGGAGGCAGCAGUGGGGAAUAUUGCACAAUGGGCGGAAGCCUGAUGCAGCAACGCCGCGUGCGGGAUGACGGCCUUCGGGUUGUAAACCGCUUUCGCCUGUGACGAAGCGUGAGUGACGGUAAUGGGUAAAGAAGCACCGGCUAACUACGUG